AUUUUUAAAGAUAAAUUUUUCUUGCUCAGAUAUUUUUCAAAUAGGUUUUGCUUCUGUUCCCAGACACAGGUGUCUCGAAAUGAAGAGAGGUGAGAAAGGGAACAAGACACAGAAUUUGACAAUACCAAUAAUUCGUGUGUAAGGCUGUUUUGUUGAAAGCACAUCCCGGAGCCCGUGGAAACCUGAGGAGGGAAGUAUUAGGUGUGUUUCAUACCUGGCAGCGGACGAUUUCACGACAGGCUGGCUGCAAAGAGGUGUGGACUCCAGCCCAGAGCCACCACA
rnacentral:lncRNA from 13 species